AUUUCACGCUGGCGGCAGGCCUAACACAUGCAAGUCGAGCGGAGCGGCGGACGGGUGAGUAAUGCCUAGGAAUCUGCCUGGUAGUGGGGGCUACCGUCCGGAAACGGGCGCUAAUACCGCAUACUAUAAGCUGAACCUAGGUCGGAUUAGCGAGUGGGGGGGGUAAAGGCCUACCAAGGCGACGAUCCGUAACUGGUCUGAGAGGAUGAUCAGUCACAGUGGAACUGAGACACGGUCCAGACUCCUACGGUAGUAAUCAGUGGGGAAUAUUGGACAAUGGGCGAAAGCCUGAUCCAGCCAUGCCGCGUGUGUGAAGAAGGUCUUCGGAGUGUAAAGCACUUUAAGUUGGGAGGCGUUACCAACAUAAUAAGCACCGGCUAACUUCGUGCCAGCAGCCGCGGUAAUAC
rnacentral:rRNA from 1 species